CCUACGGGAGGCAGCAGUGGGGAAUAUUGGGCAAUGGGCGCAAGCCUGACCCAGCAACGCCGCGUGAAGGAAGAAGGCUUUCGGGUUGUAAACUUCUUUUCUCAGGGACGAAGCAAGUGACGGUACCUGAGGAAUAAGCCACGGCUAACUACGUGCCAGCAGCCGCGGUAAUACGUAGGUGGCAAGCGUUAUCCGGAUUUACUGGGUGUAAAGGGAGCGUAGGCGGUUCCAUAAGUCAGCGGUAAAAUCGUGCGGCUCAACCGUACCGUGCCGUUGAAACUGUGGGACUUGAGUAUGCGCAGGGUACAUGGAAUUCGUGGGGUAGCGGUGAAAUGCUUAGAUAUCACGAAGAACUCCGAUCGCGAAGGCAUUGUACCGGAGCAAGACUGACGCUGAGGCUCGAAAGUGCGGGUAUCAAACAGGAUUAGAUACCCGGGUAGUC
rnacentral:rRNA from 1 species